GUGCUGAUCCCAGAAGGGCCUGGACAGAAUGUCUCUGUGUUCUGACUUCCGUUUUCCACUUUCAGCACCUGCCUGUGUACCUAGAGAACGGAGUGCCGGGUUAAUUGUUGCCUCCUGUGCUGUUACUAGGUUACUUUGUAAAAGCAGAAAUGUGCUUCUAAUGAUUUUUGCUGUUGCUGCUACCUUACGAGCCAGACACUUUUAUCUAAAUGAGUUGCAACACAUCAAGGGUGGCCCGUGAGGACUGCUAGGCUACGUCUGUCUUCCACAGGUAAGUGGCUUGAUCGCACUGUGGCUCUGUGAUCCAUCUGAAGAAACACGCGGGAUGGCUUACCACCCUGACUGCUCUUCUGGAAAGGAGGCCAGCAGCUGAGCAGCAGUCAGCACGGAGGUACCCAUCAUGGAGCCACAGCCUGGCACGAAUUGAUGUCUGGAUCCAGGCAGGGUCACCAAAGGCAGGAGAAGAAUCCAACCAUCAUGCUGUGAAAAGCCCAACGUAACCACAUGGAGAGGCCACAUGGAAAGGAACUGAAGCUGUGGUCAACAGCAGCAGUUGAGUUCCCAGUCAACAGCCAGCUCCAACUUUCUAGUCAUGUGAGUGAGCCAUCUUGGAAGUGCAUCUUGCAACCUCAGUCAAGCCAUGUUAGCUGGCAUCAUGAAGAGCAAACAUGAACCAUCCUUGCUGAGCCCUGCCCAAACUGCAGAAUUCUGAGCAAAUAAAUGUUGUUCUUUU
rnacentral:lncRNA from 1 species